rnacentral:misc_RNA from 1 species
CGUAGUGCAUGAGGCUACCGCAGAGGCCGCGAAACUUAUUUAACUCGUCUAUCAAUGUUUUCACGGCGAAGUCGUCACGAAUCCGACCCUCCUUCCUCGCUCUUGUCACGAUACUUGACGCCCAUACUAUUGGUAACCAAUGCUUGCUAGGCUUAGGAAACUUUGUGUUCAGACUCUCGAAUAUGACUAGCUCGUUCUCCAGCAACAAACCCGCCUCUACGAAGUGCUCUAACGUGGGGAAUCGUUUUUUCACACGGGGCGAGACCAUCGCCAGUACUAGCGUUAAGCAAACGCACACGUCUGACGAUAGUUCGGCGCAUUAGUCGACCUCUCUCGUCGUUGCCGUGAAUAGUGGCUGACACGAAAACCGCGAUUGAGUCUGGCCACGGUAUCACCAUGUAUUGAUUCCACCACCUGGUCAUAACAAUACUGACGUAGAAGCCCAGGACGAAAGACAGCGGAAUUAGAUCGCUGUACGCGUUGCAGUAUGCUACUAUGGCUGCGAAUAUCUUCUUUUGUUCUUCGUCCAAUAUCAGUCGGUAAAUACUCGACAGCGAAUAAUAUAUGAAGAGGAAAAGAGCUAGGUCCAACCAGACGAGCUUGUAUACGCUUGCUCGCCAUCUAGAAAACAAACAAUACGUAACGCAAGACGUUUUAACAGCCGCUGAUUAAUUACAAAAAAAUAAAACACACUUCUCGAAAGCACUUUCAAUUUCUGUGAAAGUGCAAUCGAUAUCUACGAUUUU